UGCCAGCAGCCGCGGUAAUACGAAGGGACCUAGCGUAGUUCGGAAUUACUGGGCUUAAAGAGCUCGUAGGUGGUUAAAAAAGUUGAUGGUGAAAUCCCAAGGCUCAACCUUGGAACUGCCAUCAAAACUUUUUAGCUAGAGUGUGAUAGAGGUAAGUGGAAUUUCUAGUGUAGGGGUGAAAUGCGUAGAUAUUAGAAAGAACACCAGUGGCGAAAGCGCUCUACUGGACCAUUACUGACACUCAGAGGCGAAAGCUAGGGUAGCAAAAGGGAUUAGAUA
rnacentral:rRNA from 1 species